rnacentral:rRNA from 1 species
GACGAACGCUGGCGGCGUGCUUAACACAUGCAAGUCGAACGGAAAGGCCCUGCUUUUGUGGGGUGCUCGAGUGGCGAACGGGUGAGUAACACGUGAGUAACCUGCCCUUGACUUUGGGAUAACUUCAGGAAACUGGGGCUAAUACCGGAUAGGAGCUCCUGCUGCAUGGUGGGGGUUGGAAAGUUUCGGCGGUUGGGGAUGGACUCGCGGCUUAUCAGCUUGUUGGUGGGGUAGUGGCUUACCAAGGCUUUGACGGGUAGCCGGCCUGUGAGGGUGACCGGCCACAGUGGGACUGAGAUACGGCCCAGACUCCUACGGGAGGCAGCAGUGGGAAAUAUUGCACAAUGGGCGGAAGCCUGAUGCAGCAACGCCGCGUGCGGGAUGACGGCCUUCGGGUUGUAAACCGCUUUCGCCUGUGACGAAGCGUGAGUGACGGUAAUGGGUAAAGAAGCACCGGCUAACUACGUG